rnacentral:lncRNA from 1 species
UUUUCUAUUUUUAUUUUUAUUUUCUUUCUUUUCUUUCUCUCCAAGUAAUAAUAUGGCUCUACUUUCUUUUCCUUUUCUUUUUUCCUUUCCCACUAAUUAAAUUCUUUUGAAAUAAAAUAUUUCACUUACAAUCGCCCUCCUCUAAAUGCUCUCCAGUAUCCUCCUAGAAGGUAGGGGGAUAGUGCAACAAGAUCCCUUUGUCAUACACUCUAACCAUGUUAGCAAGGAAACACAAGCAGUAACUCUACUAUUUCAACCUCCAGCUAACUCUAGAUGAUAACAAACUCUAGAUGAUAACAAAGAGAAAGGUUUACACCACAACACCUAUUACCAAUUAUUGACAUUCAAUUUUGGCUCGCUAUGUUUCCUUUAAUUAUUUUUCGGUGCUCCUCGGCCUUAAAUAAUUUUUUAAAAUAAAUUCGUAUUUUUGUAUGAAUUUUGAGAAAAAAAGAUUUUAAAAAAAGUAUUUAUUUUCCUAUCAUAAGUUAAAAUAUUUU